rnacentral:rRNA from 1 species
GGAGCCGUAGCGAAAGCGAGUUUUAACUGAGCGUUCAGUUACUUGACGUAGACCCGAAACCGGGCGACCUACCCAUGAGCAGGAUGAAGCGAAAGUAAAAUGUCGUGGAGGUCCGAACCCACGAGCGUUGAAAAGCUCGGGGAUGACUUGUGGGUAGCGGUGAAAUUCCAAUCGAGCCCGGAGAUAGCUGGUUCUCCCCGAAAUAGCUUUAGGGCUAGCCUCAAGGUGAGAGAUACGGAGGUAGAGCACUGAAUGUCCUAGGGGGUAUUGCACCUACCGAAGACUAUCAAACUCCGAAUGCCGUCAUCUUAUACUUGGGAGUCAGACUGUGGGUGAUAAGAUUCAUAGUCGAAAGGGCAACAGCCCAGAUCGUCAGCUAAGGUCCCUAAAUGUAAGUUAAGUGGUAAAGGAUGUGGGAUUGCACAGACAACCAGGAUGUUGGCUUAGAAGCAGCCACUCAUUCAAAGAGUGCGUAAUAGCUCACUGGUCGAGUGAUCCUGCGCCGAAGAUUUCCGGGGCUAAAACUUACUACCGAAGCUACGGCAUCAGUAAUGAUGGGUAGGGGAGCUUCCCAUACGGGUUGAAGCAUGACCGUAAGGACAUGUGGACAGUAUGGGAGUGAGAAUGUUGGCAUGAGUAGCGAGAUGUGGGUG